UAUUGCACUUGUCCCGGCCUGGUU
rnacentral:miRNA from 1 species